GAUGAAGAACGCAGUGAAAUGCGAUAAGUAGUGUGAAUUGCAGAAUUCAGUGAAUCAUCGAAUCUUUGAACGCACAUUGCGCCCUUUGGUAUUCCUUAGGGCAUACCUGUUCGAGCGUCAUUUAAACCUUCAAGCUCAGCUUGGUGUUGGGUGACUGUCCGCUUCACCGCGGACUCGCCUCAAAAUUAUUGGCGGCCGGUACAUUGGCUUCGAGCGCAGCAGAAACGCGAACUCGGGCCCGUCGUAUUGGCUCCCAGAAGCUAUCUUCACAAUUUUGACCUCGGAUCAGGUAGGGAUACCCGCUGAACUUAAGCAUAUCAAUAAGCGGAGGA
rnacentral:misc_RNA from 1 species